rnacentral:rRNA from 1 species
GGUUCAGGACGCUGUAUGAUUAAUAGGGAUAGUCGGGGGCGUCAGUAUUCAAUUGUCAGAGGUGAAAUUCUUGGAUUUAUUGAAGACUAACUACUGCGAAAGCAUUCGCCAAGGAUGUUUUCAUUAAUCAGUGAACGAAAGUUAGGGGAUCGAAGACGAUCAGAUACCGUCGUAGUCUUAACCAUAAACUAUGCCGACUAGGGAUCGGACGGUGGUUUUUUUAUGCCCCGUUCGGCACCUUACGAGGAAUCAAAGUUUUUGGGCUCGGGGGGGAGUAUGGUCGCAAGGCUGAAACUUAAAGAGAUUGACGGAAGGGCACCACCAGGCGUGGAGCCUACGGCUUAAUUUGACUCAACACGGGGAAACUCACCAGGUCCAGACAUGCUUAGGAUUGACAGAUUGAUAGCUCUCUCUUGAUUGUAUGGGUGGUGGUGCAUGGCCGUUCUUAGUUGGUGGAGUGAUUUGUCUGCUUAAUUGCGAUAACGAACGAGACCUUGACCUGCUAAAUAGCCCGUAUUGCUUUGGCAGUACGCCGGCUUCUUAGAGGGACUAUCGGCUCAAGCCGAUGGAAGUUUGAGGCAAUAACAGGUCUGUGAUGCCCUUAGAUGUUCUGGGCCGCACGCGCGCUACACUGACAGAGCCAGCGAGUACUCCCUUGGCCGGAAGGUCCGGGUAAUCUUGUUAAACUCUGUCGUGCUGGGGAUAGGGCAUUGCAAUA